rnacentral:rRNA from 1 species
CCUGAGAGGGUGAUCGGCCACAUUGGGACUGAGACACGGCCCAAACUCCUACGGGAGGCAGCAGUAGGGAAUCUUCGGCAAUGGACGAAAGUCUGACCGAGCAACGCCGCGUGAGUGAAGAAGGUUUUCGGAUCGUAAAACUCUGUUGUUAGAGAAGAACAAGGAUGAGAGUAACUGUUCAUCCCUUGACGGUAUCUAACCAGAAAGCCACGGCUAACUACGUGCCAGCAGCCGCGGUAAUACGUAGGUGGCAAGCGUUGUCCGGAUUUAUUGGGCGUAAAGCGAGCGCAGGCGGUUUCUUAAGUCUGAUGUGAAAGCCCCCGGCUCAACCGGGGAGGGUCAUUGGAAACUGGGAGACUUGAGUGCAGAAGAGGAGAGUGGAAUUCCAUGUGUAGCGGUGAAAUGCGUAGAUAUAUGGAGGAACACCAGUGGCGAAGGCGGCUCUCUGGUCUGUAACUGACGCUGAGGCUCGAAAGCGUGGGGAGCAAACAGGAUUAGAUACCCUGGUAGUCCACGCCGUAAACGAUGAGUGCUAAGUGUUGGAGGGUUUCCGCCCUUCAGUGCUGCAGCUAACGCAUUAAGCACUCCGCCUGGGGAGUACGACCGCAAGGUUGAAACUCAAAGGAAUUGACGGGGGCCCGCACAAGCGGUGGAGCAUGUGGUUUAAUUCGAAGCAACGCGAAGAACCUUACCAGGUCUUGACAUCCUUUGACCACUCUAGAGAUAGAGCUUCCCCUUCGGGGGCAAAGUGACAGGUGGUGCAUGGUUGUCGUCAGCUCGUGUCGUGAGAUGUUGGGUUAAGUCCCGCAACGAGCGCAACCCUUAUUGUUAGUUGCCAUCAUUCAGUUGGGCACUCUAGCAAGACUGCCGGUGACAAACCGGAGGAAGGUGGGGAUGACGUCAAAUCAUCAUGCCCCUUAUGACCUGGGCUACACACGUGCUACAAUGGGAAGUACAACGAGUUGCGAAGUCGCGAGGCUAAGCUAAUCUCUUAAAGCUUCUCUCAGUUCGGAUUGCAGGCUGCAACUCGCCUGCAUGAAGCCGGAAUCGCUAGUAAUCGCGGAUCAGCACGCCGCGGUGAAUACGUUCCCGGGCCUUGUACACACCGCCCGUCACACCACGAGAGUUUGUAACACCCGAAGUCGGUGAGGUAACCUUUUUGGAGCCAGCCGCCUAAGGUGGGAUAGAUGAUUGGGGUGAAGUCGUAACAAGGUAGCCGUAUCGGAAGGUGCGGCUGGAUCACCU